AUGUGCGCUGGACGCCGAGGACUGAUGCCGAAAGUAGGGCCUGGCGAGUCAGUUUUCCGCAAUGCAAGCUUCACGUUCCUCAUCCUGUCUGAACUCCAUUUCUGUUAGUGUUACCGUUGCCCGUUCGACUUCUAGACACUACUCUGUUUUGUACACCGGAAUGGAACUGCAUACUUCCACUUGAUCUCACCAAAGAGCUGUCCUGUUAAUUGAAGAGUUUUUGCUCAACAGCAUAUAGCGAAGUUGAAACACUGAAACCAUACAGUUAGUACAAGAAUAAUGAAGAAUGCAUAUAAACUAACCUCGUCGAAAAAGCCAAUAUUUGGAGAUGGCGCUCGGAGACAUGAGGGUCUGAUAUGUUUAGAAACACUGUUAGGAUCCAUAGGGCUACCUCCUAUUGACAUCUUUCCUUCGCGUGGAUUCAAGAGCAUUGCUUCUUGAUUUCCAUGUC
rnacentral:sRNA from 1 species